CCUUGUACACACCGCCCGUCACACCAUGGGAGUCGUUUGCUCCAGAAGCGCCUACGCUAACCGCAAGGAGGCAGGGUUCCAAGGAGUGAACGGUAACUGGGGUG
rnacentral:rRNA from 1 species